rnacentral:rRNA from 1 species
CCUACGGGUGGCAGCAGUGAGGAAUAUUGGUCAAUGGACGAGAGUCUGAACCAGCCAAGUAGCGUGAAGGAUGACUGCCCUAUGGGUUGUAAACUUCUUUUAUAUGGGAAUAAAAUGUUCCACGUGUGGGAUUUUGUAUGUACCAUAUGAAUAAGGAUCGGCUAACUCCGUGCCAGCAGCCGCGGUAAUACGGAGGAUCCGAGCGUUAUCCGGAUUUAUUGGGGUUAAAGGGAGCGUAGGUGGAUUGUUAAGUCAGUUGUGAAAGUUUGCGGCUCAACCGUAAAAUUGCAGUUGAAACUGGCAGUCUUGAGGACAGUAGAGGUGGGCGGAAUUCGUGGUGUAGCGGUGAAAUGCUUAGCUAUCACGAAGAACUCCGAUUGCGAAGGCAGUUCACUGGACUGCAACUGACACUGAGGCUCGAAAGUGUGGGUAUCAAACAGGAUUAGAUACCCUAGUAGUC